CUGCGAGGUGGGCUGGCCCGGCCCCGCCCGGCCCAGAGUCCCCCAGCCGGCUCUCCUGCCUCAGGCCGGACUAGAACUCGCCGCCGGCCCCCCGUUUCCUCAGCAGUCGCUCGUUCGCUGCGCUGGACUGAGGGCGCCCGGAUCCUGGCCGCGCUCCUCACGUUGCGCUUCUCCCCUCAGGCCGAGGCUUCCUUCUAGCCCGCCCGAGACGCUGCCGCAGAAGAUGGGAAAGAGGGACCCGACUUUGCCGCCCGGCCUGCGGCACCGCGUCUGCCCGAGGCCGCCAGGUGUAAUGUCUCCUGCUGGAUGAUGUAAGCUCAAUAUGUAGAGAUUAAUGAAAGAAGCAGAUGGGAACAGAAGAGGACAGCUAUUGCAGCACAGGUGGGUUCAUGUCCCUCAGCUGAAAUGUAGCGGAAGGCAACGAAACCUGCUUUGUCACCAAGCUCUGAGUCGUGGAAAUGGUGCGUCCUCCCUGACAGAGAAAAGAAGAAAUGUAAACUCAGAGUACAGAGAGUUCCAGUUUCGUGUUUGCAUUACUCACACAUGCACAAGGAGUGUAGAGGUCAAUUUGGGAAUCUGCAGGCUGCCUUCACCCUGACUUGCUGGGCCCCUGCAUCUUCUGGAAAGAAAACGCUGCUUUCUGGUGACUGUUGCUGUUCCUGGGCUGUUAAAACAUUUUCCCGUUAUUAUGACAGCAAAAAACCAUCAAUCAGGCGUGGACACUAUCUGCACCCUUUGUGACAAGCAGCAUGAUGAGCAGGGGUGUCAAUUGUGCAAUGUACAUUUUUGCACAGGCAUAGAGAAUCCCUGCCAGUUUUCUGCUUAGCUGCUCAAAUGCUGCAGGGAGGCUAGAGGACAAAAGAGUGGUGCUUCUCUGUGUGGCAGUUACAAAAAAACACAUAUGCCUCCUGGUGACAACUGAGGAGUCUUGCAGAGUACUGGGAAUAAGAUCACAAACAAUAGGUUGAAAUGGGGAACCCAACAUUGGGGGUAUAUGUUGUUUAGUCUGACAGUGAAGCAUUUUGGAAGUUAAUGUAUUGAUAAUUAUGUCCAGUAUUAUUUUUCAAUGUAGAAUUAAUAAGAUAUAAUGCAGUCCGCUAACAAUUUGUGCUUCAUUCUAGUGUAGCAUAUUACAGUUAUUACUCUGGUUCUGAGCAGUUCCCUCUCUCCAGACCAAGGACCUGUCACAUAAAUGGUUGAGGAGAAUCUUUAAACACUAUCCAAAGCUCAGCAACCUAUGUAUGUGCUUUCUAAUUUUUUUUUUUUAAUCCUUACAUGGUCAUCAAAAUCUUGCAGUAUUUCAGCGCAUGCACCCACAAUAAUUUUAGCCAGUUUAAAAAGAUCCAAUAUAUUGUUCCAAUAUAUGAUUCCUUGCCACUAAGAAAAGUAUUUAAAAUAAAAUGAAAAAUCAUUGUAAAGGACUUUGAAAGUU